GCAAACCUAUAUUUUUUUAUUAAAAAGUAAAGAAAAUUCUCAUUUUUAUAAAGUAUUCCCUAAAAAAUACCUAUUUAUUAGUAAACCGCAAGGGUUUGUUCUCAGCUUCUUUAAGAAAUGAUAAUCUCAUGUCCCUUUUGCAUCAUGGAGAAGCAACAAAAAACUAGUAAUCUAUACUCCCGAAUGAUUAUGAGCUACUAACUUUUAGGAAUUAAUGUUUCAUAAUUAAUUAAAGUAAUCUUUAGUAGAAGUAACAAGCCUUCCAUAUAAUCGUAUAGCUGGUUUUUCUUCAAAAGCAUCACAGUGCUAGCCCAUAGUUAAACAUUAUACUUUUAAAUUAUGAGGCUUACUCUCCUGAGGAUUAGCUCAGCAGAGCCCCAGAAAUACUUUAAUAAACAAAUUUAUAAGUAGGCCUAAAAGCAGCCAUCUAAUAACGUUCUAGUUACCAAAACUAAACCCUAAUAUUAAAUUCUAUUAACACUUCUAACCAUAAAGAAAUUUAACAAAAAAUCUCCUUGUUAUUAAACAGGCAUCCUAUUAGUAUUCUAUACAAAAGACUAAUUAAUAAUAAUUAAAAAUAUUAAGUCGCAAAUCUUUUAUCUACUAAAAUAAGUAAAGUGAACUCGGCAAAUUAGUUCCCUGCCUGUUUACCAAAAACAUCGUCUUUUGAAACCCCAAAAUAAAAGAUAAUGCCUGCCCAGUGAAUCAUUAAACGGCCGCGUUAGCGUGAGCGUGCUAAGGUAGCGUAAUAAUUAGCCUUUUAAUUGGAGGCCAGUGAAUGGCAAGACUAGGAACACCUUUACUUUACAUACUAAAAAAACUUUUCAUCUAAGUGAAAAGACUUAGAUAAUAGAGGAAGACGAAAAGACCCCGCGGAGCUUUACCUUUUCUAAUACUUCUGUUUAUACACUUAAAUGUGUUAAAGGUUUGGUUGGGGCAAUCUUGGAACCAACAAAGCUUCCAAUUCUUUAAAGAUCCUAUAUAAAACUUGAUAAGGACCAAAAAGAAGCUACCCCGGGGAUAACAGCGUAAUCUAAUUUGAGAGUACAUAUCGAAAAUUGGGUUUGCGACCUCGAUGUUGGCUUAAGGAUAUCCACAUUAGUGCAACCGCUAUGUCAGGAUAGUCUGUUCGACUAUUAUACCCUUACACGAGCUGAGUUAAGACCGGCGCAAGCUAGGUUGGUUUCUAUCUCCUUUAAUAAACUAUUCUUCUUGAUUGUACGAAAGGACCCCAAGAGGUGCAACUUUUAACAGCACUUUUGAUAAAUCAUAUUUAGCUUA
rnacentral:rRNA from 1 species